AUUGAACGCUGGCGGCAGGCCUAACACAUGCAAGUCGAGCGGAUGAGGGGUGCUUGCACCCUGAUUCAGCGGCGGACGGGUGAGUAAUGCCUAGGAAUCUGCCCGAUAGUGGGGGACAACGUUUCGAAAGGAACGCUAAUACCGCAUACGUCCUACGGGAGAAAGUGGGGGCCUUCGGGCCUUGCGCUAUCAGAUGAGCCUAGGUUGGAUUAGCUAGUUGGUGAGGUAAUGGCUCACCAAGGCGACGAUCCGUAACUGGUCUGAGAGGAUGAUCAGUCACACUGGAACUGAGACACGGUCCAGACUACUACGGGAGGCAGCAGUGGGGAAUAUUGGACAAUGGGCGAAAGCCUGAUCCAGCCAUGCCGCGUGUGUGAAGAAGGUCUUCGGAUUGUAAAGCACUUUAAGUUGGGAGGAAGGGCAGUAAGCUAAUACCUUGCUGUUUUGACGUUACCGACAGAAUAAGCACCGGCUAACUCUGUGCCAGCAGCCGCGGUAACAC
rnacentral:rRNA from 1 species